rnacentral:lncRNA from 1 species
CUCAGGAAGAGUCUCAGAGUUUGUUACCAUCAAAAAUGCACUAUAUCACUAUUCCCUGUAGCGUUAUUUUGGACUCUGGACCCUUUGCAGAAUCAGAGCACAGUCUAGAACCUUCUUUACCUGCCGGCGCAGCCCCAGCGGCUGUGUCUACCUCACCUGGGUCUGUCACUGCUCCUGAACAAAAGGAAACACCAUCCACAAACAGAACUUCUCCACCACCCAGAGCUCCAACCACUGACCCUGUCUCACCAGGUACCAUUUACUCUCUGCCUACCCUGGACUAUUUCACCUGUGAUCCCUCAGGUCAGCCCGGGUCACCUCAGCAUUCAAGGCCCACUGUAGACGUUCCAGCAGUCCCUUCGACAGGGGUUUCUUCAUCACCAGGUCAUCUCGCUGCAGCAGAUGGUUCUGAUGUGGGUGCUACAGUGACAUCCGAGUCCAGUGCCACCAUAUUUUGGACCAGAUGUAAUGAGGCCGGGUGGACUAAAGAAAUCUUCUCAGAGCUCGUGUCUCAGCUGAGCAGCCUAGGAGAAAGAGUGCAGUCACAGAAAGCCAACCACCAAGAUUAUGAUGUUGCUCUCAAAGUAUUGGGGGCAUCUGGACGGCUGCCUUGCAUUAUUACUCAGCUGGAACAAGACCUGGAGAAAGAGGAACGGGAUUUGCGGAGGAAAGAAGCAGCACUGAGG